rnacentral:rRNA from 1 species
UACGUAGGGACCGAGCGUUGUCCGGAAUCAUUGGGCGUAAAGAGCGUGUAGGCGGCCAUUUAAGUCCUGCGUGAAAUCCUGCGGCUCAACCGCAGGCGGUCGUGGGAAACUGGAUGGCUAGAGUGCGGGAGAGGAGAGUGGAAUUCCUGGUGUAGCGGUGGAGUGCGCAGAUAUCAGGAGGAACACCGAUGGCGAAGGCAGGUCACUGGGCCGCAACUGACGCUGAGGAGCGAAAGCAUGGGGAGCGAACAGG